GACUCUCGGCAACGGAUAUCUCGGCUCUCGCAUCGAUGAAGAACGUAGCAAAAUGCGAUACCUGGUGUGAAUUGCAGAAUCCCGCGAACCAUCGAGUUUUUGAACGCAAGUUGCGCUCGAGGCCUUCCGGCCGAGGGCACGUCUGCCUGGGCGUCA
rnacentral:rRNA from 2 species